CCUACGGGGGGCAGCAGUAGGGAAUCUUUCACAAUGGGCGAAAGCCUGAUGGAGCAACGCCGCGUGCAGGAUGAAGGCCUUCGGGUUGUAAACUGCUUUUAUAAGCGAGAAAUAUGAUGGUAACUUAUGAAUAAGGAUCGGCUAACGACGUGCCAGCAGCCGCGGUCAUACGUAGGAUCCGAGCAUUAUCCGGAGUGACUGGGUGUAAAGAGUUGCGUAGGUGGCAUAAUAAGUAGCUAGUGAAAUCUGGUGGCUCAACCAUUCAGACUAUUAGCGAAACUGUUAAGCUCGAGACCGUUAGGGGGAACUGGAAUUUCUAGUGUAGGAGUGAAAUCCGUAGAUAUUAGAAGGAACACCAAUAGCGUAGGCAGGUUGCUGGGACGGUUCUGACACUAAGGCACGAAAGCGUAGGGAGCAAACGGGAUUAGAGACCCUUGUAGUC
rnacentral:rRNA from 1 species